rnacentral:lncRNA from 1 species
GAGGCGGACGCGAGUAGCUCGGCAGGGGGACUCGCUUGGCUUUCGUGCCAUCCGUGGACACAGUCGCGCGGGAGGAGAAGAUGACAGUGUUCUCCCUAAGGAUGAAGUUUGACUUUUGAAACAUAUCACAUGCUUAAAGCACAUUUGAGCUCCUGCAUGAACAGUAAGCUAGCAGAUGGUAGAAAUAUUCUUUAUUAAUUCAAAAAAUAUUUACUGCGGACCUACAAUGUGCCAAGCAUGUCUCCUGACACUGGGGAUAAGCAGUGAACAACAACAAAAAGACAAACUUCUUCCACCCUGAGGCGUAUGUUCUCGGUCUUUGUGGGAAGAAACAAAUCACAAAAGCAAUUAAGAGAGCUCAAACAAUGGGUUACUCUCAUCUGGAUUAUUGUAGUCACCUUGUCACUGGUAUCUCUGCUUUCUCCUAACCCCCAUCUAAUCUCCAAAAAAUCAGAGCAUGUCACUCCUGGCCCCCAAAUCCCCCCAGUGACUCCGCCCUCCCCACCCUGCUCAGAAUUAAAGUCAAUGAUCUUUUUUUUUUUUUUUUUUGAGAUGGAUUCUUGUGCUGUCACCCAGGCUGGAGUGCAGUAAGUAGUGUGAUCUCAGCUCACUGCAGCCUCCGCCUCCCAGAUUCAAGCGAUUCUCCUGCCUUAGCCUCCUGAGUAGUUGGGAUUACAGGUGCGCACAAUGCCUGGCUAAUUUUUAUAUUGUUAAUAGAGUUGGGGUUUCACCAUGUUGGCCAAGCUGGUCUUGAACUCCUGACCUCAGGUGAUCCACCCACCUUGGCCUCGCAAAGUACUGGGAUUACAGGCAUGAGCCACCAUGCCCAGCCUAAAGUCAAUUAUCUCACCACAGACCACAAGGCUACUUUGAUCCAACCAGCCCAUCUUAUAUACUACCACUUUCCUGUUUUCUCACAGUGCUCCAAUCACACUGGCCUUCUUUCUGGACUUCAAACAUGCCAAAUAUACUCUCCUUGAGGGACAUAGCACUUACUGCUACCUUUGUUUGGAAUGUUCUUUCCCAGAUACCCAUGUGGCACACCCAAAUGCUUGAGUGGCCCCUUAUUAGUGAGGCCUUCCUAUAGCAUUAUAUAUAAGAUGGAUAUAAGGUAGGACUCAGAACAUACUCCCUAUCCUCCUUACUCUACUUCACCUGACUCCAAACACUGUCACCACCUGACGUAGUACAUAUUUUAUUUUUUAUUUGUUUAGCAUCUGUCUGCCUCUAACUAGAAUGCAAGCUCCAUGAGGACAGAGAUUUUUGUUUUGUUUACCGCCAUAUUGUCAGCAGCUAGAGCAAUGUCUGGCAUGUAGUAGCACUCAAUGAAUAUUAAUUGAAUAAAUGAGCUACCUAAAAAAUAACUGCAUUGAUAUCAUAACCCAAGUAGUGUCUGAAAUAAUGUAAUGAAUUACCAGAAUGCAAAUGAAUUAUUUUCCAGAUGUCUUUAAGUUGGGUGUUGGAAAGUCAAUAUGCAUUUUUCCUACAAAUAUAAAGUAAGUGCUGUUAUUAUCCCCAUCUUAUGGAUAAGACAUCUGAUAUUUAGCUUAUGCAACUAUGCCUGUUUUCUGAUUUUGAGGCAUGUACCUCACCACUUAUACUAAAUUUCCAGGUCAGAUCAUAAAACCUUACGUAAGCCAUAAAAUUCAGAUAUAAAGUAGUCUAAAAAAAGGAAGGACCAGAAUGGAAGAUACCUAUCUUACACACAAACAGCUGUAUCUAGAGUAUAGGCUUCUUAGCUUUCUAGAUGUUUCACCCAGUUAUAGCUGUUCUUUGAUAGUGAUACAGUGAUAGAGGCAGGAGGCAGAGAAAUUCUAGGCAGAUGGGAAGAUCCCUGGCAAAGCACCACCCUAAAGCUGAAAAGCUUGAAACCACUGCCUAAAGUGAGAACUUAUAUUCCCGUUUUCCUGCUUGAAUGUUGUCUUUUCCUAAACUACCCAUAGCCUGCCCCACCCUAUCUUGUGCCUAUAAAGACCCCAGACUCAGCCAGCAGAGGGGAGAAACAGCUGGACAUCAGAGAGAAGCAGCCGGACUUCAGAGGGACAGCUUGAUGACAUAACUUUGGAGAAGAAUGCAGCCAGAGAUGGGUGGACUCCAGGGAAAGAUUACCUGCCGCCCCACCCUCUUUUCAGCUCCCCUUCCUGCUGAGAGCCACUUUCAUCGGCAAUAAAAUACACUGCAUUUGCUA